rnacentral:rRNA from 1 species
AAUAAUACACCGAAAGGGGUACUAAUACCGGAUAUUCUUGCAUUUCAUAAGGAGUGUAAGCAAAGGUGGCCUCUGUAUAUGCUACUGCUUGAUGAGGGGUCUGCGUACCAUUAGCUAGUAGGUGGGGUAAUGGCCCACCUAGGCUACGAUGGUUAGCGGGUCUGAGAGGAUGAUCCGCCACACUGGCACUGGAACACGGGCCAGACUCCUACGGGAGGCAGCAGUGAGGAAUAUUGCGCAAUGGGGGCAACCCUGACGCAGCGACGCCGCGUGAGUGAGGAAGGCCUGGUCGUAAGACUCUGUCAAGGGAAAGAAAUAGUAUAAUGGCUAAUACCUGUUAUAUUUGUACGGUACCCUUAAACGGAAGACACCGGCGUAACUCCGUGCCAGCAGCCGCGGU